rnacentral:rRNA from 1 species
AGAGUUUGAUCAUGGCUCAGGAUGAACGCUAGCUACAGGCUUAACACAUGCAAGUCGAGGGGCAUCAGUUUGGUUUGCUUGCAAACCAAAGCUGGCGACCGGCGCACGGGUGAGUAACACGUAUCCAACCUGCCUCAUACUCGGGGAUAGCCUUUCGAAAGAAAGAUUAAUAUCCGAUAGCAUAUAUUUCCCGCAUGGGUUUAUAUUAAGAAAUUCGGUAUGAGAUGGGGAUGCGUUCCAUUAGUUGUUGGCGGGGUAACGGCCCACCAAGACUACGAUGGGAUAGGGGGUUCUGAGAGGAAGGUCCCCCGACAUUGGAACUGAGACACGGUCCAAACUCCUACGGGGGGCA